UACGGGGGGGGGCAAGCGUUGUUCGGAAUUACUGGGCGUAAAGGGCUCGUAGGCGGCCAACUAAGUCGGAUGUGAAAUCCCCAGGCUUAACCUGGGAACUGCGUCCGAUACUGGCAGGCUUGAAUCCGGGAGAGGGAUGCGGAAUUCCACGUGUAGCAGUGAAAUGCGUAGAGAUGUGGAGGAACACCGAUGGCGAAGGCAGCCCCCUGGGUCAAGAUUGACGCUCAUGCACGAAAGCGUGGGGAGCAAACAGG
rnacentral:rRNA from 1 species